rnacentral:lncRNA from 7 species
AUGUGUUGGUGGCAUCAUUGGGGUCACCUCUAUGGGUUGAUGUCCCCAAGGGAUGUCCCAAUGUGUUGGUGGCAUCAUUGGGGUCAUCUCUAUGGGUCGAUGCCAUCAUUGGGGUCACCUCCAUGGGUUGAUGUCCCCAAGGGUUGAUGGCAUCAUUGGGGUCACCUCCAUGGGUUGAUGUCCCCAAGGGAUGUCCCCAAGGGUCGAUGCCAUCAUUGGGGUCAUCUCUAUGGGUCGGUGCCCAUCAUUGGGGUCACCUCUAUGGGUUGAUGUCCCCAAGGGUUGGUGGCAUCAUUGGGGUCACCUCCAUGGGUUGGUGGCAUCAUUGGGGUCACCUCCAUGGGUUGAUGUCCCCAAGGGAUGGUCACUCCAUGGGCCGAUGCCAUCAUUGGGGUCACCUCCAUGGGUUGAUGUCCCCAAGGGUGUUGUGGUCGGGCCAUCAUUGGGGUCACCUCCAUGGGUUGAUGUCCCCAAGGGAUGUCCCCAUGGGCCGAUGCCAUCACUGGGGUCACCUCCAUGGGUUGAUCCCAAGGGUUGGUGGCAUCAUUGGGGUCACCUCCAUGGGUCGAUGCAUCAUUGGGGUCACCUCCAUGGGUUGAUGUCCCCAAGGGAUGUCCCCCAAGGGCGAAUGUCCCAUCAUGGGGUCACCUCCAUGGGUGGUGGCAUCAUUGGGUCACCUCAUGGUCACC